rnacentral:rRNA from 1 species
AGUCAUAUGCUUGUCUCAAAGAUUAAGCCAUGCAUGUCUAAGUACAAGCCUCACUAAGGUGAAACCGCGAAUGGCUCAUUAAAUCACACCUAAUCUACUGGAUAGUUAANAGUUACUUGGAUAACUGCGGUAAUUCUGGAGCUAAUACAUGCACAAAGCCCCGAACUUACGUGAGGGGCGCUUUUAUUAGAUCAAAACCAAACGGCUUCGGCUGUACUCUUGGUGACUCUGAAUAACUUUGGGCUGAUCGUACGGCCUAGCGCCGACGACAUAUCCUUCGAAGGUGUGCCCUAUCAACUGUCGACUGUGGCAUAGACGCCCACAGUGGUUUUGACGGGUAACGGGGAAUCAGGGUUCGAUUCCGGAGAGGGAGCCUUAAAAACGGCUACCACAUCUAAGGAAGGCAGCAGGCACGCAAAUUACCCAAUGACCGAAGGUCGAGGUAGUGACAAAAAAUAACGAUACGGGACUCAUCUGAGGCCCCGUAAUCGGAAUGAGUACACUUUAAAACCGUCCCCGAGGAUCUAUUGGAGGGCAAGUCUGGUGCCAGCAGCCGCGGUAAUUCCAGCUCCAAUAGCGUAUAUUAAAGUUGUUGUGGUUAAAAAGCUCGUAGUUGGAUCUCGGCGGUCUGAGGGCGGUUCGCUUGAUUGAGUGCUACUGCUCUAUAGGCCGUGGUUUUGCCAGAGGUCUCGGGGUGCUCUUAACCGAGUGUCCUGCGAUGCUGGCAGGUUUACUUUGAAAAAAUUAGAGUGCUCAAAGCAGGCUUUUACGCCUGAAUAUUCGUGCAUGGAAUAAUAGAAUAGGAAGUCGUUUCUAUUUUGUUGGUUUUCGGAAAUCGACUUAAUGAUUAAUAGGGACAGUCGGGGGCAUUUGUAUUCAAACGACAGAGGUGAAAUUCUUGGACCGUUUGAAGACAAACUACUGCGAAAGCAUUUGCCAAGAAUGUUUUCAUUAAUCAAGAACGAAAGUUAGAGGUUCGAAGGCGAUUAGAUACCGCCCUAGUUCUAACCAUAAACGAUGCCAGCUAGCGAUCUGCCGACGUUUUCUUUGUAGACUCGGCAGGAAGCUUCCGGGAAACCAAAGCAUUUGGGUUCCAGGGGAAGUAUGGUUGCAAAGCUGAAACUUAAAGGAAUUGACGGAAGGGCACCACCAGGAGUGGAGCCUGUGGCUUAAUUUGACCCAACACGGGAAAUCUCACCAGGCCCGGACACUGGAAGGAUUGACAGAUUGAUAGCUCUUUCUUGAUUCGGUGGGUGGUGGUGCAUGGCCGUUCUUAGUUGGUGGAGUGAUUUGUCUGGUUAAUUCCGAUAACGAACGAGACUCUGUC